rnacentral:rRNA from 1 species
UGGGGAAUUUUGGACAAUGGGCGCAAGCCUGAUCCAGCAAUGCCGCGUGAGUGAAGAAGGCCUUCGGGUUGUAAAGCUCUUUUGUCAGGGAAGAAACGGCCUAGGCUAAUACCUUGGGCUAAUGACGGUACCUGAAGAAUAAGCACCGGCUAACUACGUGCCAGCAGCCGCGGUAAUACGUAGGGUGCAAGCGUUAAUCGGAAUUACUGGGCGUAAAGCGUGCGCAGGCGGUUUUGUAAGUCUGACGUGAAAGCCCCGGGCUCAACCUGGGAAUUGCGUUGGAGACUGCAAGGCUUGAAUCUGGCAGAGGGGGGUUAGAAUUCCACGUGUAGCAGUGAAAUGCGUAGAGAUGUGGAGGAACACCGAUGGCGAAGGCAGCCCCCUGGGUCAAGNUUGACGCUCAUGCACGAAAGCGUGGGGAGCAAACAGGAUUAGAUACCCUGGUAGUCCACGCCCUAAACGAUGUCUACUAGUUGUCGGGGUUUUGAAUUAACUUGGUAACGCAGCUAACGCGUGAAGUAGACCGCCUGGGGAGUACGGUCGCAAGAUUAAAACUCAAAUGAAUUGACGGGGUCAUAGCUGUUUCCU